GACGAACGCUGGCGGCGUGCUUAACACAUGCAAGUCGAACGGAAAGGCCCAUUUGGGGGUACUCGAGUGGCGAACGGGUGAGUAACACGUGAGUAACCUGCCCUUGACUUCGGGAUAACUUCAGGGAACUGGGGCUAAUACCGGAUAGGAAUCCUUGCUGCAUGGUGGGGGUUGGAAAGCUUCGGCGGUUUUGGAUGGACUCGCGGCUGAUCAGCUUGUUGGUGGGGUAGUGGCUUAACAAGGCUUUGACGGGUAGCCGGCCUGAGAGGGCGACCGGCCACAUUGGGACUGGGAUACGGCCCAGACUCCUACGGGAGGCAGCAGUGGGGAAGAUUGCACAAUGGGCGGAAGCCUGAUGCAGCAACGCCGCGUGCGGGAUGACGGCCUUCGGGUUGUAAACCGCUUUCAGCAGGGGCGAAGCUUUUGUGACGGUACCUGCAGAAGAAGCACCGGCCAACUACGUG
rnacentral:rRNA from 1 species